CUAACAAGGAUUCCCCUAGUAACGGCGAGUGAAGCGGGAUGAGCUCAAAUUUGUAAUCUGGCGGCCUGUGGUCGUCCGAGUUGUAGUCUGGAGAAGCGUCUUCCGCGUCGGACCGUGUACAAGUCCCUUGGAACAGGGCGUCAUAGAGGGUGAGAAUCCCGUCUUUGACACGGACUGCCGAUGCUAUGCGAUGCGCUCUCGAAGAGUCGAGUUGUUUGGGAAUGCAGCUCAAAACGGGUGGUAAAUUCCAUCUAAAGCUAAAUAUGGGCAAAAGACCGAUAGCGAACAAGUACCGUGAGGGAAAGAUGAAAAGCACUUUGAAAAGAGAGUUAAACAGUACGUGAAAUUGUUGAAAGGGAAACGCUUGAAGUCAGUCGCGUCUCUCGGGAGUCAGCCUUGCUUUGUUGCUUGGUGUAUUUCCUGGGGUGACGGGCCAGCAUCGAUUUUGACCGUCGGAGAAAGGCUUCGGGAAUGUGGCACCCUCGGGUGUGUUAUAGCUCGGGGUCGUAUGCGACGGUUGGGAUCGAGGACCGCAGCACGCCUUCAUUGGCCGGGGGGACGCCCCACGUAACGUGCUUAGGAUGCUGGCGUAAUGGCUUUAAGCGACCCGUCUUG
rnacentral:rRNA from 1 species